rnacentral:tmRNA from 1 species
GGGGUCGUUUGGUUUUGACAGCUAGUUUGUAGAUUUGUAAGCACGUCGGAGGUUGUGAGACGGUUCCGUUAAAAACUAACUCUCGUAGCCAAUAAAUGGCAACUCUUAUGCAAUCGCUGCUUAAUUGUGGCGGUUCCGAAGCCUAAACCAGGUUUAGAGCAUCGGAUGUUUCCCCGGAAGCAUUGCCAAUCUGCGUCCGGAUCGAAGCAUCGUAAAAGAUUGGAUAGCAAGUACCGGCUUCGCGGUAUGCGCGAAAUAACAGAAGAUAAGUGCAGCAUAGUGUGCCUAAGCAUGGUGUUGUGCCGACAAGUUUCUCUUAGGAUAAACGUGUAGAAAGCAUCUUUGCAGCAAGUUUGGACGCGGGUUCGACUCCCGCCGACUCCACAC